AUUGAACGCUGGCGGCAGGCCUAACACAUGCAAGUCGAACGGUAGCACAGAGAGCUUGCUCUCGGGUGACGAGUGGCGGACGGGUGAGUAAUGUCUGGGAAACUGCCUGAUGGAGGGGGAUAACUACUGGAAACGGUAGCUAAUACCGCAUAACGUCGCAAGACCAAAGAGGGGGACCUUCGGGCCUCUUGCCAUCAGAUGUGCCCAGAUGGGAUUAGCUAGUAGGUGGGGUAACGGCUCACCUAGGCGACGAUCCCUAGCUGGUCUGAGAGGAUGACCAGCCACACUGGAACUGAGACACGGUCCAGACUCCUACGGGAGGCAGCAGUGGGGAAUAUUGCACAAUGGGCGCAAGCCUGAUGCAGCCAUGCCGCGUGUAUGAAGAAGGCCUUCGGGUUGUAAAGUACUUUCAGCGGGGAGGAAGGGAGUAAGGUUAAUAACCUUGCUCAUUGACGUUACCCGCAGAAGAAGCACCGGCUAACUCCGUGCCAGCCGCCGCCGUAA
rnacentral:rRNA from 1 species